rnacentral:rRNA from 1 species
UACGGAGGAUCCAAGCGUUAUCCGGAAUUACUGGGCGUAAAGAGUUGCGUAGGUGGCAUUGUAAGCAGGUAGUGAAAGCGUUCGGCUCAACCGGAUAAACAUUACUUGAACUGCAAAGCUAGAGGACAAGAGAGGUCACUGGAAUUCCUAGUGUAGGAGUGAAAUCCGUAGAUAUUAGGAGGAACACCGAUGGCGUAGGCAGGUGACUGGCUUGUUCCUGACACUAAGGCACGAAAGCGUGGGUAGCAAACGGG